rnacentral:lncRNA from 1 species
AAACCAUCAUAGAUCAACCCCAACAGAUGAAGAAAUGCCUCCUAGAUUAGGAAGGCCCGCGUCUGAAAGCACCGCUCUGCUGCUGUGGAGGUCGUCACCGCAGCUCCUCACCCUCGGACACGGACUCUCGCGGGCUGCAGCGAGCCAUCGGGCCUUCAGCCUGGGCCUUGCCCUGUGGCUUCCGGCUUCUCGCCCUGAGCAGCUGCAGACUGAGGAGCUCCUCCCAUCCUGCAGAGUGCAGACAGACACUGUGGACGCUCCGGGCUCUGAACGCCUAAGAAAUCGCCUUGCCCAAAUAAGUACACAAGCUUCUCCCCUGGUGGUUGACUUCAAGCUCUCUGAGUGACAUCAGUGAACACAUACUUGGAAAGAUAUGUGCAGCAGCAGCACAUAAUUAUGUACUAUUUCUGCCACACAAAUACAGUAAACAGAUCAGCCUGGCCCUUUCAUCUCUUGCAUGAUGUGAGGACACAGCGUUUGCCCCUCUUCUCUUGCCGUACAAGGACACAGCCACAAGCCACCAUCUUGAAACCCAGAGUAAGCCUUUGCCAGAGACUGAAUGUGCUGGCUGGACCUUGAACUUCUAAGCCUCUAGAACUGUGAGAAAUAAAAUUCUAUUAUUUAUAUAUUAU